rnacentral:rRNA from 1 species
AUUGAACGCGGGCGGCAUGCCUUACACAUGCAAGUCGAACGGUAACGGGCCUUCGGGUGCCGACGAGUGGCGAACGGGUGAGUAAUACAUCGGAACGUGCCCGAUCGUGGGGGAUAACGAGGCGAAAGCUUUGCUAAUACCGCAUACGAUCUACGGAUGAAAGCAGGGGACCGCAAGGCCUUGCGCGGACGGAGCGGCCGAUGGCAGAUUAGGUAGUUGGUGGGAUAAAAGCUUACCAAGCCGACGAUCUGUAGCUGGUCUGAGAGGAUGAUCAGCCACACUGGGACUGAGACACGGCCCAGACUCCUACGGGAGGCAGCAGUGGGGAAUUUUGGACAAUGGGCGCAAGCCUGAUCCAGCCAUGCCGCGUGCAGGAUGAAGGCCUUCGGGUUGUAAACUGCUUUUGUACGGAACGAAAAGCCUUCUUUUAAUACAGGAGGGUCAUGACGGUACCGUAAGAAUAAGCACCGGCUAACUACGUG